rnacentral:rRNA from 1 species
UACGUAGGGUGCGAGCGUUGUCCGGAAUUAUUGGGCGUAAAGAGCUCGUAGGCGGUUUGUUGCGUCGGCUGUGAAAUCCCGAGGCUCAACCUCGGGUCUGCAGUCGAUACGAGCAAACUAGAGUGUUGCAGGGGGAGACUGGAAUUCCUGGUGUAGCGGUGAAAUGCGCAGAUAUCAGGAGGAACACCAGUGGCGAAAGCGGCUUCCUGGUCCAGCACCGACGUCAGGCACGAAAAGCGUGGGGGAGCAAACAGG